UACGGGGGGGGCAAGCGUUGUUCGGAAUUACUGGGCGUAAAGGGCCCGUAGGCGGCCGGCUAAGUCCGACGUGAAAUCCCCAGGCUUAACCUGGGAACUGCGUCGGAUACUGGCUGGCUUGAAUUCGGGAGAGGGAUGCAGAAUUCCAGGUGUAGCGGUGAAAUGCGUAGAUAUCAGGAGGAACACCGGUGGCGAAGGCGGGUCUCUGGGCAGUAACUGACGCUGAGGAGCGAAAGCGUGGGGAGCGAACAGG
rnacentral:rRNA from 1 species